ensembl:lncRNA
CCUGCAGAGAGGAAAUGUUUCAGGGAAAUACUUGGUACCGCGACUCUCCCUUCAGUUCACCAGACAGCAGGAGGGAGAGCAGAGCUCAACACAGAGGGGAGAAAUAGAUCACUACUGUAAGUUGCUGUCGUGUGUGUGUGUGUGUGUGUGUGUGUGUGUGUGUGUGUGUGUGUGUGUGUGUGUGUGUGUGUGUGUGUGUGUGUGUGUGUGUGUGUGUGUGUGUGUGUGUGUGUGUGUGUGUGUGUGUGGUGGGUUUGUGUGUGUGUGUGUGUGUGUGUGUGUGUGUGUGUGUGUGUGUGUGUGUGUGUGUUGUAGCAUAAUUCUUCAUGUGGCUAUAAGAGGAGGGCAGUAAUGACAGGUAAUCGACAGGCUAACAACACAGUGACAGGUUUAAACCGGUGUGAACUGGUUCAGCUAUUAAGGAACGUGAGGUUAAACAGCGGUUGCAGUAGUGUGUAAAAUGAAACGUACUGGUAUGAGGCUGGGCUGCUUCUUCUAACAAUCCAGUGACCUUUGACCCAAUCAUCUCUCCUUCCUCCUGAAGUGUGCACUUUGUUCACUAAAUUUCACUGAUUGUAAAUAGACCAGGCGAUAUGUGAAAAUGAUGUUCACUUUGGUGGAAAAGAAUGAAACUUGGUCCACUUGGUACAGUUUGGGACACAACACUUUGGUGUAGACAUCACCUUUUCUCUGUGUUGUCAUGUUUGGUUCAGCAGAUAUGGGAAAUAAAUGGUCAGUUAUGGUGGAAUGGAAAAUGGACACGGGGAGGCAGGUAGUCUAGUGGUUAGAGGAGGCAGGUAGCCUGGUGGUUAGAGGAGGCAGGUAGCCUGGUGGUUUGAGGAGGCAGGUAGCCUGGUGGUUAAAGGGGGCAGGUAGCCUAGUGGUUAGAGGAGGCAGGUAGCCUAGUGGUUAGAGGAGGCAGGUAGCCUAGUGGUUAGAGGAGGCAGGUAGCCUAGUGGUUAGAGGAGGCAGGUAGCCUGGUGGUUAGAGGAAGCAGGUAGCCUGGUGGUUAGAGGAGGCUGGUAGCCUGGUGGUUAGAGGAGGCAGGUAGCCUAGUGGUUAGAGGAGGCAGGUAGUCUAGUAGUUAGAGGAGGCUGGUAUCCUGGUGGUUAGAGGAGGCAGGUAGCCUAGUGGUUAGAGGAGGCAGGUAGCCUGGUGGUUAGAGGAGGCAGGUAGCCUGGUGGUUAGAGGGGGCAGGUAGCCUAGUGGUUAGAGGAGGCAGGUAGCCUAGUGGUUAGAGGAGGCAGGUAGCCUAGUGGUUAGAGGAGGCAGGUAGCCUAGUGGUUAGAGGAGGCAGGUGGCCUAGUGGUUAGAGGAGGCAGGUAGCCUAGUGGUUAGAGGAGGCAGGUAGCCUAGUGGUUAGAGGAGGCAGGUAGCCUAGUGGUUAGAGGAGGCAGGUAGCCUAGUGGUUAGAGGAGGCAGGUAGCCUAGUGGUUAGAGGAGGCAGGUAGCCUAGUGGUUAGAGGAGGCAGGUAGCCUGGUGGUUAGAGGAGGCAGGUAGCCUAGUGGUUAGAGGAGGCAGGUAGCUUGGUGGUUAGAGGAGGCAUGUAGCCUAGUGGUUAGAGGAGGCAGGUGGCCUGGUGGUUAGAGGAGGCAUGUAGCCUAGUGGUUAGAGGAGGCAGGUAGCCUAGUGGUUAGAGGAGGCGGGUAGCCUGGUGGUUAGAGGAGGCAGGUAGCCUGGUGGUUAGAGGAGGCAGGUAGCCUGGUGGUUAGAGGAGGCAGGUAGCCUGGUGGUUAGAGGAGGCAGGUAGCCUGGUGGUUAGAGGAGGCAGGUAGCCUGGUGGUUAGAGGAGGGAGGUAGCCUGGUGGUUAGAGGAGGCAGGUAGCCUAGUGGUUAGAGGAGACAGGUAGCCUGAUGAUUAGAGGACACAGGUAGCCUAGUG